rnacentral:rRNA from 1 species
UGGGGAAUAUUGCACAAUGGGGGAAACCCUGAUGCAGCGACGCCGCGUGAGUGAAGAAGUAUUUCGGUAUGUAAAGCUCUAUCAGCAGGGAAGAAAAUGACGGUACCUGACUAAGAAGCCCCGGCUAACUACGUGCCAGCAGCCGCGGUAAUACGUAGGGGGCAAGCGUUAUCCGGAUUUACUGGGUGUAAAGGGAGCGUAGGUGGCAUGGUAAGCCAGAAGUGAAAACCCAGGGCUCAACUCUGCGGAUUGCUUUUGGAACUAUCAGGCUGGAGUGCUGGAGGGGUAAGCGGAAUUCCUAGUGUAGCGGUGAAAUGCGUAGAUAUUAGGAGGAACACCGGUGGCGAAGGCGGCUUACUGGACAGAAACUGACACUGAGGCUCGAAAGCGUGGGGAGCAAACAGG